GACAGAGGGGGCAAGCGUUGCUCGGAAUUACUGGGCGUAAAGGGCGCGUAGGCGGGAUGGCAAGUCGGUCGUGAAAUCCCUCGGCUCAACCGAGGAACGUCGAUCGAUACUGCGGGGCUAGAGUGCAGAAGGGGCAACUGGAAUUCUCGGUGUAGCGGUGAAAUGCGUAGAUAUCGAGAGGAACACCUGCGGCGAAGGCGGGUUGCUGGGCUGACACUGACGCUGAAGCGCGAAAGCCAGGGGAGCAAACGGG
rnacentral:rRNA from 1 species